rnacentral:rRNA from 1 species
CUGACUGCUAUCGGAUUGAUACUAAGCCAUGCGAGUCAUUGUAGCAAUACAAGGCAGACGGCUCAGUAACGCGUAGUCAACCUACCCUAUGGACGGGAAUAACCUCGGGAAACUGAGUAUAAAGCCCGAUAGAACACUAUACCUGGAAUGGUUUGUGUUCCAAAUGAUUUAUCGCCGUAGGAUGGGACUGCGGCCUAUCAGUUUGUUGGUGAGGUAAUGGCCCACCAAGACUAUUACAGGUACGGGCUCUGAGAGGAGUGGCCCGGAGAUGGGUACUGAGACACGGACCCAGGCCCUAUGGGGCGCAGCAGGCGAGAAAACUUUGCAAUGUGCGAAAGCACGACAAGGUUAAUCCGAGUGGUUUGUGCUAAACGAACCUUUUGUUAGUCAUAGAACCACUAAUGAAUAAGGGGUGGGCAAGUUCUGGUGUCAGCCGCCGCGGUAAAACCAGCACCUCAAGUGGUCAGGAUGAUUAUUGGGCCUAAAGCAUCCGUAGCCGGCUCUGUAAGUUUUCGGUUAAAUCUGUACGCUCAACGUACAGGCUGCCGGGAAUACUGCAGAGCUAGGGAGUGGGAGAGGUAGACGGUACUUGGUAGGAAGGGAUAAAAUCCUUUGAUCUAUUGAUGACCACCUGUGGCGAAGGCGGUCUACCAGAACACGUCCGACGGUGAGGGAUGAAAGCUGGGGGAGCAAACCGGAUUAGAUACCCGGGUAGUCCCAGCUGUAAACUAUGCAAACUCAGUGAUGCAUUGGCUUCUGGCCGAUGCAGUGCUGCAGGGAAGCCGUUAAGUUUGCCGCCUGGGAAGUACGUACGCAAGUAUGAAACUUAAAGGAAUUGGCGGGGGAGCACCACAAGGGGUGAAGCCUGCGGUUCAAUUGGAGUCAACGCCGGG